rnacentral:rRNA from 1 species
AUGUUGAUUAGUUGGAGAUUCUGUAAAGGAUCGCAAAGAAAUGCCAUGCCAUGCGCGCUUGAAGAAACUGACAAAAGGCUGAAGAACACGUCGCGUAUGCGGUGUAACAGAUCAGGCGGGAAUAUCGACAACCGCUUUUCAGAGGACCAGCUAAUACACAGACCGGUUUACGUCUUCCCUGAUAACAGGGACAGUCCAUUUACGGUGCUUUCUCUUGGGCACAGUUCAGAUUGGAAAUUGGCACCGUUUUCAUCUAGCAGGCAGGAGGUCAACAGGAUAAGAUAUUUGACAUUAGGAACUGCUGCUACAGAGGGCUUUGAGUUACUAUUCCCACAGCCAACAAUAGUAUACUGGCUAGAUCUGCCGAAUGAAAAGAACAUGCAUGAUCAGGACAUUUCUUCUAAACCACUUCCCAAUGGAGGAGGCACUUUAGGACAACAUCGGCAUAGGAAAAAGAUUAAGAAGUCAUUGACAGCUUGCCCUCCUUGCCACGUGGUUGCAAGUACCUCUUCUGGGCCUGAUACUGCUCCUCUGGGAUCUGAUUCUGAUAUUUUGCAUGACGAUGAUAAGCCUCCUAAAAGGAGUUCUAAGAAGAAAGUCAACAAGUGGAAACAGUGCAGGCGAGCAACCGGGGAAAAGCUUAAUUUGUUGCCGGAACUCCCCUGUGAAGAGCAUAUUGAUGCCGCCUCUCCUGUUGAGGUAUUUCUGCCUGAUUCAGUGGCUGAUAAAUUGUCAGAUGCCUCAUCCUCUGCCUGCUCACUGGUUAAAGAUGCCCAUUUGGGCAAACAUAAUGGCGAGAGCAACAAUGAGUAUGUGGAACACGAAAGUGAUAGGAAGGAUGUCUCUGGAUGUACAGGGUCAUCUUAUAUAACUGUAGGCGAAAGAGUUAGCUGCAAAGGUGCUCCUUACCUGAAUGAUGGGCCAAAUACCGCGGAUUCUUCAGAAUUUGGUGGACCUUCUGUCACUGAACAUGCAUGUUCGCAUGCGAGAGAAGAAAGCACUAGCUGCCAGAAGUCAUUAUGUGCCUGUGUUUGUAACCCCAGUGAUGCAACAGCAGCUUCAUUCUUUACGGGUUGGAACAGUGAAAACUGUGGGGACUGCAGUAUUGAUUUUGAGGGAAAUACACGAGAUGGUUUGCAACAUGAUGCUUCUACUUUUCUGGAUAGUGUAAAUACGGCAUGCCAUUUGACAGAUGUCCAUUUAAGUGGCGCUCAUGCUGAAGAUGUUACUGAGAGUAGUAGUCAUUCUGAAAGAGUUCAGUGCAGCAGUGAAGCCUGUAGCAGCACGACGUUUCUUCCAGCUAGUCCGGGGAGGAGCGGCAGGAAAUCAAGAAACAAAUCUAGCUGUACUAAUAUGACUGCGACUAAUAGGGUAGUAGGUUCUAAUAGGCACAAGCAUAGUGGAAAAGACAGUCCAGUCUCUGUGUGGCAGAAAGUAGAAAAACCUGAUAAAGAAAACUCAUCUGGAGCAGGACAUGUGGUUGUUUCAGCAGUUGAGGAUAAAAGUGCACUAGGAGAUGAUACCAAGGGUGUGCAGCACGAUCCAAAUAGGCCAAUGGAUAAACAUCGUUGUAGAAAAACAUGCAAACAGCACAAGAAGCAAACCCCGUUUCUGUAUGAACAAACAAGUUUGCCUUGUAAAAAGGGUGGUUGUCCGUCGCCGAGGAACUACUACGCUCCUAAGAAUGGUAGCCCCAAGACACCCAAGAACCACUCGCAGCAGACUGAAGGAUUGUUGAUGUUACAGCCAGUAUGUGCCAGGGACAUCAGUGAUGCAUCAAUCGCAACUGGUACUGAAAAAGCAACACUGUCAUCUUACAACUUGGGUUCUCACUUGGUGCCACAAGCUACAUCCAAGGAACCAUGCACAUUGGUCAUUCAAGACGAUGUUCACUCUCUUUUCCUUGAAAAUAAGGCCACAUCAACAGAUUUGGACUCCAGGAACUUGUGCGUCGAUCCUUGCGCUGCAGAAAUGGAAGAAGCCCAAUGUGUGAAGUCAUAUUCUGCUGCUGGGCACAUGUCACAUAAAUGGGUUCCUAUUGGAAAGAAAGAUAUAACCCAUUUGGAUGUUCCAGAGGCUUCUGUGGUUGAAGCAUCAGUUCCAGCUAAUGAUGUUUCUGUUUCUGCUAAUAUAGAUGUUUCAGAUGCUCCUGCAUCAACUAAAAGUGAAGGCAGCAAAGUUGCUACUGAGUUGACUGCUAAACCAAAGCCAUCUGGACAGCUUGAUUCGAAAUGCCAAGGACAUAUUGACAAUGGGACUGUUUUCAGCAUGAUAAGAGAGGCAGUGAGUGAUGCUCAUAGCACCCAACAGAGAGCGGAAGAUAUUCAACUUCACAUUGGCAGGCCUCUUGCCGAUUUUGAACAAUUUAUUUACUCUGCUUCUCCAGUUCUGCACUGUAGCCCUUGCCCUACUGGCUGCAACUCUUCUUCACAGGAAUGGGUUAGAGAUGGUUUGUGCUGUCAUCAGACUGCGGAUAUCUCUCUAGCUAGCAUUUGGCAGUGGUAUGAAGAACCUGGCUGCUAUGGCUUGGAAGUGAAGGCACAGGAUCUCCGUAGAUCGAAAGGCUUAUGGAAUAAUCGUUAUCAGUUUAAUGCCUACUUUGUGCCAUAUCUAUCUGCGGUUCAAUUGUUUAGGCAACCUAAGAGAACUGUUGAUAAGGAUGAAGCCAAUAUGGGUGCAAGAUCUAAAACAUCUCCAUGUAUAAGCUCUCUCCCAAUAUUAGCGAAGCUUCUACCUCAAGAGUCCAAUAAAAGAAAUAGCUCGCCGGCUUUCCAUGUUAAAGAUGAUCAGCAGUUGGAGACUACAGAGCUCAUAUUUGAAUUCUUUGAAUCUGAACAACCAUUUUGGCGGCGACAAUUAUUUGACAGGGUAAAGGAGUUGAUUGCUGGUGCGAAACAAUCCAAUUGCCAAAUAUCCGGAGACCCGAAGAAUCUGGAGCUCAACCUGCAUGAUCUUCAUCCCGCCUCUUGGUACUGCGUCGCGUGGUAUCCCAUAUACCGUAUACCUGACGGGAAAUUCCAGGCUGCUUUCCUGACGUACCAUUCUCUCGGACACUGGGUUCAUCGAGGGAGCUCAUCAGACCAGGCUGGGCAUAGCCAUGCUGUUUUGCCAGUGAUGGGUUUGCAAUCUUACAACGACAAGGGGGAGUGGUGGUUCCAGACGAGCAGAUCCGGUUCAGAAGACGCCGAUUCCUCGUCAAGUGAACCAUCUCAGGUUCUCCAAGAAAGGUUGUCGACGCUGAACCAAGCCGCGGCGGCCAUGGCCAGGGCCGACGUGUGGAAGGAGGACCAGAAGCGCAGAAACAGGCACCCCGACUACGAGUUCUUCCUGUCCCGGCAGCAACGGUAG